CACGUAGGGCGCAAGCGUUGUCCGGAAUUAUUGGGCGUAAAGAGCUCGUAGGCGGACUGUCACGUCUGCUGUGAAAAGCUGGGGCUUAACCCUGGCCUUGCAGUGGAUACGGGCAGACUAGAGGUAGGUAGGGGAGAAUGGAAUUCCCGGUGUAGCGGUGAAAUGCGCAGAUAUCGGGAGGAACACCGGUGGCGAAGGCGACAUCCUGGACCAAUACUGACGCUGAGGAGCGAAAGCCAGGGGAGCAAACGGG
rnacentral:rRNA from 1 species